rnacentral:rRNA from 1 species
AUAAUAACUUAAAUUAAUGAAUUCAUCAAAAUUAUUUUAAAUAAAAAUAAUUAUUUAGUUUUAGUACUAUUUAUGGAAAAAAUACUUUUAAUUUAACUGUGAAGAUAAAUAAUAAAUAUAUAAAAGUAAAAUUAUAAUUUGUACCUUUUGUAUCAGGGUUAAUUAAUUAUAUAUAAGAAUUUAUUUUUCCCGAAUUAUGGUGACUUAGGAUUGUUUGUUAAUUAUUAUAAUAUAAAUAUUAAUAAAAUAAUUUUAGUGAUGAAACUUUUUUCGAACUAUAAUAUUUCUGGUUUCUUAAGAAUUAAAUUUAAUUUAAAAUAAAUAUUAUAAUUUAUAUUUUAAUAUAGAAUUUUGUAUUUAUUUAAUUAUAUUAAGGACAAGCUAAAUAUAAUUUCUAUAAUAUUUUAAAUUUCAGUUAAUUAAAUAGGCUUACAAUUAGCCUUUUUAUAUGAGUGAGUUAAAUUUUAUUUUCUAUUUAAAUACAUUUAAUAUAUUUUAGGUAUAUAUUAAGAAAAUUAAAUUAAUAAAAAUAUUUUUAUUAAAAUGAUUAAAUUAGUAAAUAUACAACAAAUUGUAUUUAAGAAUUAGGCAAAUAUAAUUUUCACCUGUUUACCAAAAACAUGUCCUUUAGAAAAAUAUUAAAGGUCUAUUCUGCCCAAUGAUAUUUUAAUGGCCGCGGUAAUUUGACCGUGCAAAGGUAGCAUAAUAAUUAGUCUUUUAAUUGAAGGCUUGAAUGAAUGAAUGGAUGAAAAAUUUUCUUUUUUGAUUAAGUUAAAUUGAAUUUAGAAUUUAAGUAAAAAAUCUUAAAUAAAUAAGUGGGACGAGAAGACCCUAUAGAAUUUUAAAUAAAUUUAUUUUACUAGAGAUUAGAAUUAAUAACUGGAAAAAUUAUUUUAUUUUUUGUUGGGGUGACAUUAUAAUAAAUAAAACUUUAAAUAAAUUUUUCAUAAAUUAAUGUUUAAUUGAUCCAAUUUUUUGAUUAAAAGAUUAAAUUACCUUAGGGAUAACAGCGUUAUUAGUUUGGAGAGUUCAUAUCGAUAAAUUAGAUUGCGACCUCGAUGUUGGAUUAAGAAAAGAGUUUAGAGCAAAAUUUAAAUAUUCUGGGUCUGUUCGACCUUUAAUUUCUUACAUGAUCUGAGUUCAAAUCGGCGUGAGCCAGGUUGGUUUCUAUCUACUAAUAUAUUUUUAAUAUUAGUACGAAAGGACCAUAUUGAAUAAUUUAAUUUAU